rnacentral:rRNA from 1 species
UCAAGCGAAUAAGCGCACACGGUGGAUGCCUUGGCGGUCAGAGGCGAUGAAGGACGUGGCAGCCUGCGAAAAGUAUCGGGGAGCUGGCAACAAGCUUUGAUCCGGUAAUGUCCGAAUGGGGAAACCCACCCGCUUGCGGGUAUCCUGCAGUGAAUACAUAGCUGCUGGAAGCGAACCUGGUGAACUGAAAUAUCUAAGUAACCAGAGGAAAAGAAAUCAACCGAGAUUCCGUAAGUAGCGACGAGCGAACGCGGACUAGCCCUUAAGCUGGAUUGGUUCUAGGAAAACGCUCUGGAAAGAGCGGCCAUAGAAGGUGAUAGCCCUGUAUCUGAAAGGGCCAUUCCAGUGAAGACGAGUAGGGCGGGGCACGUGAAACCCUGUCUGAACAUGGGGGGACCAUCCUCCAAGGCUAAAUACUACUGACCGACCGAUAGUGAACCAGUACCGUGAGGGAAAGGCGAAAAGAACCCCGGAGAGGGGAGUGAAAUAGAACCUGAAACCGUGUGCGUACAAGCAGUAGGAGCUCCGCAAGGAGUGACUGCGUACCUUUUGUAUAAUGGGUCAGCGACUUACUGUUCGUGGCAAGCUUAACCGUAUAGGGGAGGCGAAGGGAAACCGAGUCUGAUAAGGGCGCAUAGUCGCGGGCAGUAGACCCGAAACCGGGUGAUCUAGUCAUGCCCAGGGUGAAGGUGCGGUAACACGCACUGGAGGCCCGAACCCACUCCCGUUGCAAAGGUAGGGGAUGAGGUGUGAUUAGGAGUGAAAAGCUAAUCGAACCCGGAGAUAGCUGGUUCUCCUCGAAAGCUAUUUAGGUAGCGCCUCAUAUGUAUCCUCUCGGGGGUAGAGCACUGUUAUGGCUAGGGGGUCAUCGCGACUUACCAAACCAUUGCAAACUCCGAAUACCGAGACGGACUGUAUGGGAGACACACGGCGGGUGCUAACGUCCGUCGUGAAAAGGGAAACAACCCAGACCCACAGCUAAGGUCCCAAAUUCACUGCUAAGUGGAAAACCAUGUGGAAAGGCACAGACAGCCAGGAGGUUGGCUUAGAAGCAGCCACCCUUUAAAGAAAGCGUAAUAGCUCACUGGUCGAGUCGGUCUGCGGGGAAGAUUUAACGGGGCUAAGCAGUGAACCGAAGCUUGGGGUGCAUAACUUUGUUAUGCGCGGUAGAGGAGCGUUCCGUAAGCCGUUGAAGGUGGAUUGAGAAGUCUGCUGGAGGUAUCGGAAGUGCGAAUGCUGACAUGAGUAACGAUAAUGCGGGUGAAAAACCCGCACGCCGAAAGCCCAAGGUUUCCUUGCGCAACGUUAAUCGGCGCAGGGUGAGUCGGCCCCUAAGGCGAGGACGAAAGUCGUAGUCGAUGGGAAGCAGGUUAAUAUUCCUGCACCUCGCGUAAGUGCGAUGGAGGGACGGAGAAGGUUAGGUGUACCAGGCGUUGGUUGUCCUGGGGAAAGGCGGUAGGUUUGGAUCUUUGGCAAAUCCGGGAUCCUUUAAGACCGAGCACCGAGACGAGCCUUUAAGGCGAAGUCACUGAUACCACGCUUCCAGGAAAAGCUCCUAAGCUUCAGCUUACGCAGACCGUACCGUAAACCGACACAGGUGGGUAGGAUGAGAAUUCUCAGGCGCUUGAGAGAACUCGGGUGAAGGAACUAGGCAACAUGGCACCGUAACUUCGGGAGAAGGUGCACCCUUUUUGGUGGCUCGUGCGAGCUAUAGCUGAAGAGGGUCGCAGUAACCAGGCCGCUGCGACUGUUUAUCAAAAACACAGCACUCUGCAAACACGAAAGUGGACGUAUAGGGUGUGACGCCUGCCCGGUGCUGGAAGGUUAAUUGAUGGGGUCAGCCGCAAGGCGAAGCUCUUGAUCGAAGCCCCAGUAAACGGCGGCCGUAACUAUAACGGUCCUAAGGUAGCGAAAUUCCUUGUCGGGUAAGUUCCGACCUGCACGAAUGGCGUAACGACAGCGGCGCUGUCUCCACCCGAGACUCAGUGAAAUUGAAAUCGCUGUGAAGAUGCAGCGUUCCCGUGGCAAGACGGAAAGACCCCGUGAACCUUUACUAUAGCUUUACACUGAACGUUGAGUUCGUCUGUGUAGGAUAGGUGGGAGGCUAUGAAACUGUGGCGCUAGCUGCAGUGGAGCCAUCCUUGAAAUACCACCCUGUCGUGCUUGACGUUCUAACCUGGGCCCAUUAUCUGGGUCGGGGACCGUGUAUGGUGGGUAGUUUGACUGGGGCGGUCUCCUCCUAAAGAGUAACGGAGGAGCUCGAAGGUACGCUCAGCGCGGUCGGACAUCGCGCACUGUGUGCAAAGGCAUAAGCGUGCUUGACUGCAAGAUCGACGGAUCAAGCAGGUAGGAAACUAGGACUUAGUGAUCCGGUGGUUCUGUAUGGAAGGGCCAUCGCUCAACGGAUAAAAGGUACUCCGGGGAUAACAGGCUGAUACCGCCCAAGAGUUCAUAUCGACGGCGGUGUUUGGCACCUCGAUGUCGGCUCAUCACAUCCUGGGGCUGUAGUCGGUCCCAAGGGUAUGGCUGUUCGCCAUUUAAAGUGGUACGCGAGCUGGGUUCAGAACGUCGUGAGACAGUUCGGUCCCUAUCUGCCAUGGGCGUUGGAGAUUUGAGAGGGGCUGCUCCUAGUACGAGAGGACCGGAGUGGACGAACCUCUGGUGUUCCGGUUGUCACGCCAGUGGCAUUGCCGGGUAGCUAUGUUCGGAAGCGAUAACCGCUGAAAGCAUCUAAGCGGGAAGCGCGCCUCAAGAUGAGAUCUCCCGGGGCACAAGCCCCCUGAAGGAACCAUGUAGACUACGUGGUUGAUAGGUCAGGUGUGUAAGUACAGCAAUGUAUUGAGCUAACUGAUACUAAUGAUCCGUGCGGCUUGACCAU